UACAGAGGUCCCGAGCGUUGUUCGGAUUCAUUGGGCGUAAAGGGUGCGUAGGCGGCGGGGCAAGUUUGAUGUGAAAUCCCGGGGCUCAACCCUGGAAUUGCAUUGAAUACUGCCCUGCUAGAGUACCGGAGAGGAAACUGGAAUUUACGGUGUAGCAGUGAAAUGCGUAGAGAUCGUAAGGAAGACCAGUGGCGAAGGCGAGUUUCUGGACGGUAACUGACGCUGGAGGCACGAAGGCCAGGGGGAGCAAACGGGG
rnacentral:rRNA from 1 species